CUGAAUUUCACUCUAAAACUUUAAGAAAGUUUAUUUUGGCAAUCUGCAUUCCUUUGUGUGUUACAAUACAGAGGAAACUAAUUCUGACUCAGUGAAAUCAGAAACGUUUGCAAUUAUUUUCAAGUACCUCCUACAACUUGAUUCAGCCAAAGAUUUUCCAUAGUUGCUGGCUAUGGACUGGGAUCAAUAGAUGUUUUGCUCCAAUCCAGACCAAUGACAAUAAGCUUAAUGUUUCGGUAUUUGUUUUAAAAGUCGCUUGAGUAUGUAUAUCAUGGAAGAAUUUUUCUUCUUUCCUUGAAAGACGUGUGAAAUGCUGAAUGACUCUCGCAGCUGAAUCACCGCGUUUCUUCAGGUUUCCCAGGCGGAGCCAGCGCUGCCUCUCAAAUCCUUAUCAAUAUGCAAGCGAGAGCAAGGUCCAGUCUGGGCUGAAUGCCAGCGAGGCACUAUGCUUAAGUAAUUGUGUCAGUCCUCUGAGCAUCCACUGAACGUUUCAAGGAGAGUUGUUUAUGAAGUGUGAUCCCAGCAGAUCCUGCGCAAGAGCAAGAAGGUAUUGUUCAUAUUUAACAACGUGGAGACAGAGUUAAUGUGUACUUUAGGUGUCUAAAUAGGCAGCACACUUACU
rnacentral:lncRNA from 1 species